AGGAUGAACGCUAGCGGCAGGCUUACACAUGCAAGUCGAGGGGUAAGGCUCCUUCGGGAGUACACGACCGGCGCACGGGUGAGUAACGCGUAUGCAACCUACCCGUAGCUUGAGCAUAGCCCGAAGAAAUUCGGAUUAAUACUCUAUAAUAUUCUAAGGUGGCAUCACCAUAGUCUUAAAGCUCCGGCGGCUACGGAUGGGCAUGCGUGACAUUAGCAAGUUGGUGAGGUAACGGCUCACCAAAGCUACGAUGUCUAUGGGGUCUUAAAGGAUGAUCCCACACACUGGUACUGAGACACGGACCAGACUCCUACGGGAGGCAGCAGUGAGGAAUAUUGGUCAAUGGACGAAAGUCUGAACCAGCCAUGCCGCGUGCAGGAUUGACAGCUCUAGUAGUUGUAAACUGCUUUUAUAUGAGAAGAAACCACCCUACGUGUAGGGUGCUGACUGUAUCGUAAGAAUAAGCAUCGGCUAACUCCGUGCCAGCAGCCGCGGUAAUACGGAGGAUGCAAGCGUUAUCCGGAUUUAUUAGGUUUAAAGGGUGCGUAGGCGGGAAAGUAAGUCAGUGGUGAAAGUCUGCGGCUCAACCGUAGAAUUGCCAUUGAUACUGUAUUCCUUGAAUGCAGUUGAGGUAGGCGGAAUGUGUAAUGUAGCGGUGAAAUGCUUAGAUAUUACACAGAACACCGAUUGCGUAGGCAGCUUACUAAACUGUUAUUGACGCUGAGGCACGAAAGCGUGGGGAGCGAACAGGAUUAGAUACCCUGGUAGUCCAAGCCGUAAACGAUGAUCACUCGCUGUUGGCAAUACAUCGUCAG
rnacentral:rRNA from 1 species